UACGGAGGGUGCGAGCGUUGUCCGGAAUCACUGGGCGUAAAGGGCGCGUAGGCGGUGCGAGAAGCGUGUGGUGAAAGGCCGGGGCUUAACUCCGGCUCGGCCGUGCGGACUCUCGCGCUUUGUGAGUGCUGUAGAGGCGGGCGGAAUUCCGGGUGUAGCGGUGGAUGCGUAGAGAUCCGGAGGAACACCAGCGGCGAAGGCGGACAUCCG
rnacentral:rRNA from 1 species